rnacentral:tRNA from 1 species
GCACUCGUAGUGUAGUGGUCAGCAUGCUCGACGCGUAUUCGAGAGGUCCAUGGUUCGAAUCCCGAUGAGAGCA